UGGGGAAUAUUGGACAAUGGGCGCAAGCCUGAUCCAGCCAUGCCGCGUGAGUGAUGAAGGCCCUAGGGUUGUAAAGCUCUUUCAGCGAGGAGGAUAAUGACGUUACUCGCAGAAGAAGCCCCGGCUAACUUCGUGCCAGCAGCCGCGGUAAUACGAAGGGGGCUAGCGUUGUUCGGAAUCACUGGGCGUAAAGCGCACGUAGGCGGACUUUUAAGUCAGGGGUGAAAUCCCGGGGCUCAACCUCGGAACUGCCUUUGAUACUGGAAGUCUGGAGUCCGAGAGAGGUGAGUGGAACUCCGAGUGUAGAGGUGAAAUUCGUAGAUAUUCGGAAGAACACCAGUGGCGAAGGCGGCUCACUGGCUCGGUACUGACGCUGAGGUGCGAAAGCGUGGGAACAAACAGGAUUAGAUACCCUGGUAGUCCACGCCGUAAACGAUGGAAGCUAGCCGUCAGGGUGCAUGCAUCUUGGUGGCGCAGUUAACGCAUUAAGCUUCCCGCCUGGGGAGUACGGUCGCAAGAUUAAAACUUAAAGGAAUUGACGGGGAUCAUAGCUGUUUCCU
rnacentral:rRNA from 1 species